GCGAAAAAUAUAGUGAAUUUUCCCCCGAAAAAUACAUUGUGGGUUAUACACACCUGAUAACGGGGUUGACGCACCAGAUAAUGGUGUUAAAAAACUAAAAAACGAAGUCGCUACCCCGAAAAGUGGCGCUGUUAAUUGUUUAUGUUUUCAUGAAACUUGAAACGGCCAGACAUCAUACAAAUAGUUCGUCUGUUGUGCUCUGACUUUUAACUCUUGUGAGUUCCAGAUUUGCUGCCUCAUGGAAAUUCAAGUAGAAAAUACAGGUAUGCCAUAUUAAUACGUGAAUUUUAAUGUGUAGCACUGUUUGCCUCCGAGCGAAUUACAGUAUGUAUAUUCGCCGCUCUUCGCCGUUAGUAAUCCGAUGUGUAGUGGUGGAUUGCACUGUUCGUACACGGACAAAAAUAGAAAUGCUGUCACAUUAUAGGACAGUUCAUCGAGGCGAUCGUACUUUUAAUGCACAUUGGUUGGCUGGUUGUGAAAGAAGAUAUCCAACUGAAGAUGGACUAAGAAAACAUUUGCAGGAUCACCAGCCAACAUUCGUUGAACGAAAUAUUGAAGCUGCAGUAUCUACUUUUCAACAGAAGAACAAGUGCUUCGGAAGCCCCACAGCUAUGACUUUACGUUAUGUGUCAAGUAGUUUUUCAGACUGCUAUGAAAGCAACAAGAGAGACCAAUAAAAUUUUAUCUGACUAUUGUUUUAAUUAAUUGGAAACAGCUAACCUAGCAAGUUGCAUCGAGCAAGAAACAAGAGGAUCACUGUUCAUCCUAUACAUUGGAUCGACAAUCCACCUCAUUUUGGAGAGUAAUCCAUUUGUGAGAUUUCACACAACUGCGGAUGCUGUUAAUAGAUUAAUGGCGACCUACUACGUCUUCCACUUUAAAUAGAACGGUAAGGUUCAAAGCGCAUUGUUGUUUCUUCAGUCCUACGUUUUAGGCGUCAAAGACGAAGCAACUGAUACUUGUACAUCUGUUCAUUCCCUUUCCGCAUUGGUGGAUAAAAUGUAGACUUCUUCAUUGUGUUUGUAAUUGCACAGAGUUCGAAAUCUGUACUUUUGUGUUAAUCUUAAUCUGUUAACUAAGAUACAUUAACAAUAAAUAACAUUUUCCGGUG